UUAAUUUCUGUUAAAAAAACAAAACAAUAAAAGGCCAAGAGUAACCUUAGAUAAUUGUAACAUGAAAACUAAUAUUCUUUAUUUUAUAACAAGAAUAUUUUUAAAUAACUUAAGUAAAAAAUCUAUAUCAUUUUAAAGUUCCUGAAAUAAAAACAAUGAUCAAAACCUUUUUUUUUAAAGGCAAAAAGGAAGUAGACCUCCCUGAGGAAUUUGCAAAUUACUCUGCUAACUUCUGGUCUAGGAAAUUGAUAUAUUUCCAUUAUUAGCAUGCUAAGAUUUAGAGUCACUUUAUAACUCUUCAAUUAAUACUACAGUUCAAUGAUUUAAUACGAAGGACCUUCUACUUAAAACCUCAUCCUGGAAAAAUUCAACUGAGGAGGAAAAAAAUCCUCAGACUCAUUUUUAAAGGCUGUGAAUGGUACUCACCUGAACUAAAACAAACUAACCAAACUCCUGGGUAACUUCAAGAAUAUUAGUUUUGAUCAAUUGGAAAGGUAUCAGCCAAAAGGCAUUCAAGAAAAACGCAGAGCUACCUAGUCACAAGCAUACAGUAGUUUCUACACGGUUACAUAACAUCGCCGUCAUUGGCAGGCAUUUAUUAAGUGUUAACUGGUAUAUGGUACCAAACAACAUAAACCAACCUCCAUACUAGGACCACCACCAAGGAGAGGAAGUAGAUGGAGAAAAGGCAAUUUAAAUUGUGCAGAAACAUGCCUUCAUUUUACCUAGUAGGUGAGGGAAUUUAAUGGAGGCAAAAAUAUUUCAUUUUACUAUUUCUCUUAACUCUUUCAUUUGAUGUUAAACAGAACUGUAAAAAAUUUGGGUGCAUGUCUCCAAAAUAAUAAUGUGCAUGAGUCUCUGUCUGUUUUUUGAAAUAUGUUUCAUGUAGCAUCCAGGCUCACACAUAUGACUCGAAGCUGGUGUACUGUCACGUUUACUGCUGUUUCCGGGCUUUUUCAUGCGGCUCUGAGAGCAGUGGGGGAAGGAGCAGUGCUCCCGGGAGCAGCAUAUGGCCUCUGAGGACAAGGCUGGAAAACUGGACAUAAUAACUUAAAAAAGGAGCAUACAGAAGAAGUACAUAGACGUUUAUUUCUUCAUGAUUGUAAGAGUUACUUUUAUUGCAAAUCUGUAUAUCUUAAAGCCAAACCAGAGAAGUAUUUCCCUCUGCUUCAGAAAUGCCCUGGACUGAAGAAAGUGUGCCUCACACACAGAUAAGCACCCUGUCAGUGCUGAAUAAAUAAUGAAUGGCUCUGAUGGUCAAUGGAUCACAACAAGAACAUCAUGUAGUUUUUUUUCCUACUAUGAAUUAAAUAGCAUUGUUACUUGA